AAGACAGCUGGGUGGUCUGACUGAAGCUUCAGUGUUUCAGAGGGGGCUCAAGAGAAGAGAGGGAACUGACACUGCUUUGUUGAUAAUUAAACCCGAUUUUUGUUUUGUGGAAGUUGGCAAGUUGCUAAAAAAGCAUUCAAAGUAGUAAAGAGGUCAUGAGAAAGUCACAGUGGAAACCGG